UACAGAGGGUGCGAGCGUUGUUCGGAAUUAUUGGGCGUAAAGGGCGCGUAGGUGGCGCGACAAGUCAGUGGUGAAAGCUCGGCGCUCAACGCCGAGUCGGCCACUGAUACUGUUGGGCUUGAGCACUGUAGAGGCAGAUGGAAUUCCGGGUGUAGCGGUGGAAUGCGUAGAGAUCCGGAAGAACACCGGUGGCGAAGGCGGUCUGCUGGGCAGUAGCUGACACUGAGGCGCGACAGCGUGGGGAGCAAACAGG
rnacentral:rRNA from 1 species